rnacentral:rRNA from 1 species
UUAUCUCUGUAGAGUCUGCAUAUCAAUAAGCGGAGGAAAAGAAACUAACUAAGGAUUCCCUCAGUAACGGCGAGUGAAGCGGGAAGAGCUCAAAUUUGAAAUCUUCAAGGUUCUACCUUGACGAAUUGUAGUUUAAAGAAGUGUUUUCUGUUGAAGUUUUGGUAAAAGUUCUUUGGAAUAGGACAUCAUAGAGGGUGAGAAUCCCGUAUUUGACCAGUUACUUUCCAGCUGUGUGAUACACUUUCAAAGAGUCGGAUUGUUUGGGAAUGCAGUCCAAAAUGGGUGGUAAAUUUCAUCUAAAGCUAAAUAUUGGCGAGAGACCGAUAGCGAACAAGUACCGUGAGGGAAAGAUGAAAAGAACUUUGAAAAGAGAGUUAAACAGUACGUGAAAUUGUCAAAAGGGAAGCGUUUGACACCAGUGUUGUUUUCUCGAAAAUCAAUUAAAAAAGGCAGGAUUUUGUGUUGUAUUGACUUUAUCAGCUUUCUGCACUCUUUUCUUGUCUUUUUUCAAUGCACUUUUCGUUUAACAAGUCAACAUCAAUUUCUUUUGUUGUAAAAGGGUCAUUGGAAGGUGGCUUUCUUUUCGGAGAAAGUGUUUAUAGCCUUUGGCCUCUGCAAUCGGAGAGAUUGAGGUCUGCAGCGUAGAUCCUUCGGGGUUAGAUACAUUUGUGCUAAGUUAUAGCCUUUCAUAGACAACUUGUUGACUAUGAUCAGUCAUGUAGCUUACUCGCUUAUGCUAUUUUACCUACGCUUAGGAUGUUGACGAUCAGCUGAGCGCG